UUAAAAAAUAAAAAUAAAAAACAGUUGCAAUUGUUAGGUUGCGCCUUUGAGGUGAUGGGCCCUAUCCUUCACCCCCAACAUUAAUGUGAAAGGCAAGAGGACCUCUCUCUCUCUCUCUCUCUUCUCUCUCUAUUUGAAGGGUUUUCUGAUAUGGGUUUUUGAUUCUGGAGGUGGGUUUUGAAGAUGGAGAGAUGUGGAGGUCCGGUCUGCUGUCGGCAUUGAUUGAUGGUGCGGAUUAGGGUUUGUGAUCUCGAUCUGUAGCGGCUACAGGCUGGUAUCUUCUGGGCUCUCUGACUUGUGUUUUUUUAAUUCUGGAGGUGGGUUUUGGGUCGCGAUCGGUUGGGCGGAUUCGAGCGGAUUAGGGUUUGUGAUCUUGAGUCGUGGAGGUCACGGCGGCAGACUCUGUGGGUUUUUUUGACAUGGGUUUUUGAUUCUGACAUGGGGCGUCUUUGAAUGAAUAGAGAUGGAAAGAGGAAUUCAACCUCCUUUGGUUGAUACCACAGCAUGUUUCUGUAGAGUUGAUGUGGGCCUGAAAACCGUUUCUGGGGCUAGGAAAUUUGUCCCAGGAUCGAAGCUCUGCCUUCAGCCUGAUAUAAAACCAUCCAUCCAUCCAGUAAGGCACAAGACAGCCGGGGGCGACAGGACCCGGAGUCAGUCUCCUUUGUUGCCUGGCCUUCCUGAUGACCUGGCCAUUGCUUGCUUGAUCCGGGUCCCACGUGUCGAGCAUAGGAAGCUACGUCUAGUCUGCAAGAGAUGGUACCGGUUUCUGGCGGGGAACUUCUUUUACUCUCUCCGUAAGAGCCUCGGAAUCGCAGAGGAAUGGAUCUAUGUCAUAAAAAGAGACCGGGAUGGUCGGAUUUCAUGGCAUGCCUUCGAUCCCAUAUACCAGCUUUGGCAGCCCUUACCGCCUGUUCCUGGAGAGUAUUCCGAAGCCCUUGGUUUUGGGUGUGCCGUUCUCAGUGGCUGCCACCUCUAUCUAUUUGGUGGCAAAGACCCACUUAAAGGAUCAAUGAGACGGGUCAUCUUUUACAGUGCAAGGACGAAUAAAUGGCAUCGUGCUCCUGAUAUGCUACGGCGACGGCAUUUCUUUGGCUCGUGUGUAAUCAACAACUGCUUGUAUGUUGCGGGUGGGGAGAGUGAAGGAGUACAUAGGUCCUUGAGGUCUGCGGAGGUCUACGACCCAAACAGGAACCGGUGGUCUUUCGUUGCAGAUAUGAGCACUGCGAUGGUGCCAUUUAUCGGGGUCGUUUACGAUGGGAGGUGGUUUUUAAAAGGUCUUGGUGCUCAUCGACAGGUCCUGAGCGAGGUCUAUAUCCCCGAGACUGACAGCUGGUAUCCGGUCUAUGACGGGAUGGUCACUGGUUGGCGGAACCCAAGUGUCUCCCUGAAUGGGAAGCUCUAUGCACUGGAUUGCAAGGAUGGUUGCAAGCUCAGAGUCUAUGACGAGGUAUCUGAUUCUUGGAACAAACACAUUGACAGCAAGCUGCACUUGGGCAACUCACGGGCAUCAGAAGCGGCAGCCCUCAUCCCUCUCAACGGGAAGCUGUGCAUCAUCCGCAACAACAUGAGCAUUUCGCUAGUGGACGUCUCGAAAUCUGACGGUGUAAGGAGCGGUGAUCAGCUUUGGGAGACAAUCGCAGGAAAAGGCCAAUCCAAGACAUUCGUUACAAAUUUAUGGGCGAGCCUGGCUGGUCGGAACCGUUUGAGAAGUCACAUCGUUCACUGUCAGGUUCUUCAAGCAUAACAUCAGCUCAUGGGGUGAUUUGGGCAGGUAUGUGACAAGCUCUCUCAAUCCAAUCGUGGAAACGAGGGAAAUGGCCUGAGUUGGGUUAAUGAUGAUCAACGGGCUUUGGACUGUCAUGAGAAGAAAAAAGAUCUUUGAACUUAUCCGACGGCAGCCAAUCGCAGCCAUUUGCCAACUUAUUUCGUCUUGCCGCAAAUGUCUUGUUGUGUUUGUUGUGGGGCAUGUUUGGGUUGCCAAUGCACAGUUGAAGUAAAUUGCAAUCAAAUCCUUUAGGCCAGUCUCUAACCAUGGAUGUAUUGAAUUGGAUGAGGAAGGUAUCAGCCAUGGAUUCAUCAUCUCAUUCCUCUCAUACGAUGCAAAAAUCCAUAUUGCAAAAUGGACAUAGUAUAAAAAUAUAUCAUUUGUAUUAGCUUGUUUUGUUGAUACAAUCAUACCAAAGAUGAUAAUCUCAGAAGGUAUUGUACCAUACAAGGCAAUGCAUCAUGAUAAAUUAAUAUAGUGAUUACAGUAUGUACUGUAGGGGAGUGAUCAUAUGCAUUCGGAUUACCA